GAUGAAGAACGCAGCGAAAUGCGAUAAGUAAUGUGAAUUGCAGAAUUCAGUGAAUCAUCGAAUCUUUGAACGCACAUUGCGCCCCCUGGUAUUCCGGGGGGCAUGCCUGUUCGAGCGUCAUUUCACCACUCAAGCCUCGCUUGGUAUUGGGCAACGCGGUCCGCCGCCUGCCUCAAAUCGACCGGCUGGGUCUUCUGUCCCCUAAGCGUUGUGGAAACUAUUCGCUAAAGGGUGUUCGGGAGGCUACGCCGUAAAACAACCCCAUUUCUAAGGUUGACCUCGGAUCAGGUAGGGAUACCCGCUGAACUUAAGCAUAUCAAUAAGCGGAGGA
rnacentral:misc_RNA from 1 species